GGCCGACUAGCUCAGUUGGUUAGAGCGUCGUGCUAAUAACGCGAAGGUCUUGGGUUCGAUCCCCACGUCGGCCA